ACACCUGGAAACUCCAGCAAGGGCGGGUCACCGUGGCCAGGGUUACCUCCAGCACAGUGCCCGGCCUGCCUCCCAGCCAGCUCAUCCCGCCCCCUGCGCUCCUGCCUGUGGGGCUGUUUGAAGUGUCCAUGGCUGCAGCUCACUUCGAGACCCCCUUCCCUCCUCCAAGAACAGCAACUGCAGCCUACCUGCCUGGCGGCGCUUGGCUGGAUCAUCCCUGGAGGUGUGACGUCACCCAGAGCAGGUAGCCUGAGCUGGGGCUGGAGAGACCAGGCCCGAGGUAUCAGCAGGCGCUGCACCUGUGCUCAUUUCUCCAUCCUUUCUCUACCAAGGCGGGUGCUUCUCCCAUCAGGUCCUUCUGCCUCCCUUUGUGAUCAGACAUGCAAGAGCCCUGGAGGCCUGAUCUGAAGCCCAGGUGUGCCCGCCUGUGGAAAGUUCCUGCCAGGACCAAGCUCACUAGGGCCUCUGGUAUCCUCUCCUGCGUGGUGGUUUUCUGCCCUUGGGGGAUACAUGGUCCUUCAGCUGUCACUCUGCACCUACCCGCUGUGCCUUCUGAGCUGGGAGAGGAGGCUAGGCAGUAUUGGUUAUGGCCCCUUGGGGCUCCUGGGGUCUAUCAGGGCAAGACAGAAAAUUCAUUAACGUUUCAGUGGCUUAGACCAAUAAGGUUAUAAAGUUUAUCUCUUGCACCGGUAGGGGUGACUCUGGUCAGGCAGCUGAUACAGCGAUUCAGGGACUCAGGCCCCCACUGUGUCAUGACUCUGCUGACUUCAGUGACCCACGGACACUUAGGGGUCAUUUCCUCUUCAGCCAGAAUGGAAAGCAGCCAGGGUGACUCCCCCAUGGGAGGUCUAUUUGGGCUUGCAAGGAGCAUACAAGGAAAUUCAUCGCUUAUGUCCACAUUCCAUGCGGUCAGGACUCAUGGCCACAUUUCACCACCGGGGCAGCUGGGAAAGGCCAUUCUGCUAAAGGCCCAGGAGGAGACAUGCUUUUUGGUGAGCAUGCAGUGCUCUGCCCUGAGGCCUGUCUUGGCCACGUGGUGGCCAUCUAUAUCCGUGGAAUCCUGACAUCUCUCCCUGCUGCUGCCUGGGGCACCUUUCCUUGCUGAAGGCCCUACAGCUUCUGCAGGAUCAGGGUCCUGGGAGGUGCAGGCUGGGUUCCUGCCCUCACUGAUGUGCAGGUGACCACAGAUGAGGCCUUGCACCUCUUGUGGUUCUAAUACCUGUUGAGCCCCCCUGCCUCCCUGAGUGGUCAGAGGAGCAAGUAAAGGCACGCAGAGAAUAUAAAGUGCUGAAGGGAGGAGGAGGCAGAAGGAAAGGGAGGCUCUUCACAGCAGGGCACGCCCUGCAAAAGGCUGUGGAUGCUCAACCUGAGGAUACUUAGGUACCCAGCACGCACGGUUCAUCAGGCCCUGCUGUCCGUGGCCAGGCUGUCCACCUUGACCCUUCGUCUGAUCACUUCCUCCCAGGGGAUCUUAACAAACAAGUAGCAUUUGAUCCAGCACUGUUCUCCUCCAGUUAAAAAUAAGGCUCAUAAAUUGAGGCCAUGCCCUAGGGGACAGCAAUGUUAUAAGCUCAUCACCUGAUGAUGUUCAAACCUAGUUAUAAAAAUACACAGCACUUCUGCACUGGGGAGCGAAUGACCUACUUUGUACCUCAUGGACUGGUAUUAAAUUGGCAGGGGGC
ensembl:lncRNA